rnacentral:hammerhead_ribozyme from 1 species
AUCCAGCUGACAAGUCCCAAACAGGACGGAACGCGCGUCCUGGAU